rnacentral:tRNA from 1 species
GGUUCGGUAGCUCAGUUGGUAGAGCAAUUGCCUUUUAAGCAAUGGGUCGAGAGUUCGAGCCUCUUCCGAGCCA